GGAUUAGAUACCCUGGUAGUCUACGCCGUAAACGAUGUGCACUUGAUGGUGGGGCCGUUCGGUUUCACUGUCGGAGCUAACGCAUUAAGUGCACCGCCUGGGGAGUACGCCGGCAACGGUUAAACUCAAAGGAAUUGACGGGGGCCCGCACAAGCGGUGGAGCAUGUGGUUUAAUUCGACGAUACGCGAGGAACCUUACCAGGUCUUGACAUAUAAGUGACCUCUGCAGAGAUGUAGAUUUCCUUUCGGGGACGCUUAUACAGGUGUUGCAUGGCUGUCGUCAGCUCGUGCUG
rnacentral:rRNA from 1 species